rnacentral:sRNA from 1 species
UCUGUGCUCUCCAACCAAUGUCAUGCCUGAAAAAUCCUUCUGGCCAGUCGACAACGUCGAGAGCGUCAUAUGCUUUUGCCCUUGCUUCCUCAAUGUCCUUACCUUUCGCGGUUACACCAAGAACACGGCCUCCUGCCGCGACGAAGUUUCCAUCUCGAUCUAGGGCAGUUCCAGCAUGAAAGAUCUUAACUGCAGGAGAGACCUGCUCAGCUUCAUCGAUAUUUUUUAUUACUGUCCCCUUCUUGUAAACACCAGGGUAACCUUCACUUGCCAUCACAACCACAGUUGCCAAUUCAGGCGACCAGGUUAGUGAGACUGACCCCAGUUCUCCCCUACAUGCAGCAAGCAAGACCUGUGCGAGGUCGGAUUGUAACCGCAUCAUCAGAACCUGG